CGCCCCGCUGCCUCGCCAUUGUCAGCACUGUUCAAGCCACGCGGUCCGGACAGUUCCGUGACAGCAGCCAACAGGUGAGGACGCGGCUUCCAGACCCAGUUCAGCCCUGCGGCUGUGCCUGGGACCUGCAUGACCUAAGGCUUUCCCCUGACCUCUCUGAUGCCUGUUUCCUCAUCUGUAAACCGAAGGGCAAAUGUGAGAGGUUUUAGAAGAAAAUGAACACCUACAAAGUGCUUUUAGAUUUAUUAACAAAAUGAAGCUGGCCGCAGCAGUAGUUGGAGCGCUUCCUAGCUGCCGUCAUGGUUUCAUUCAUCCACCCUGUCUGUCCGUCCAUCUGGUAGCCCUGUGGACCACAGGCAGUGAGGUUGCUUAUGCAAGCUCAUGACUGCUCACUGCAGCGUUUCAAGGAGAGUGGCUCCACAGCCCCAGCAGGCGGGCGUGAACUUCCCCGUGCUCCUGACUCCGAGUCUGCUGCUGACUCCUCACUGAGCUCCCUGUGCUCCUGGUCCUCGGAUGAGGAGUAGUUUUCAGGGGACACCUGGACAUGCUGGGCGUCUCUUCCUGGGACCCUGGGUCUUGUUUGAGCCUCAUCUGUGAGCCUUGCAGGGCAUAAAUGCAGGUCAGGCCACACUCGUGCCCGAAUGGGAAUCCAGGUGUUCUCAGAGCAGGAGGAGGUGGAGAGGCAAGUGAAGGGGGUGGUCCACGCCGGGACCUGGAGGAGGCGCCGACCUGACAGCUCCAGCUCAGCCUCCGGAGGGGACGGCCCAUCGGUUCCGGUGCAGUCCGUGAAGUUGUGUUGCUGCUAUCUGGGGACCAGCUGGGAGCUCCUGGGUCUCUGGGAGGAGAGGCCGGGCGACGGGACAGAGGGAAGGAUGCCGGAUGUCCUCUGGGGCAGAGAUGGACAGGCUGUGCCCCGGGAAACCAGACAGGGUCAGGGACUCCGGGAUCCAGGAGCAGGAUGGAGGCUGCUGACCAGCCAGCUCUGGGUGGCUUCCGGCAAGGAUGGGAGGGGCAGGGGCCUGUGUGUCCCUUGGGUAAGGCGCUUUCUGAGGCACCUGUGCUCUGUCGAGGUCGGAGGUUGCACAGCGGAGACUCUAGAGAACAAAGCACCUGUAGCUGAACAACUGCAAAAGACUAAGAGCUUCUAAACUGGGCGCAGAGACGCGGGCGUGCAGCAUCCCUCGCAAACAGAACCCCAGCUCACACCAGGCCCCGAGAAAAUGGCCAUGGGUGUGAUUUUGCCACCAGAACCAAUCACUUUUCUUUAAAUUUAAUUUAACAGAAAGCAUUCUUCAGGUUCUGAGACCAGAGUAAACUAACAGCUUAGAGAACACGAAUGUUUCCUUCCUCAUUGUGCACGCCCGCCAGAAACUUUCCGUGAUCUCAGAACCUUCAGGCCACCUUGGCUGAGGCAGGAUCUGGUCCCAAAGUUGGGCAGUGAUGCCUCAUCCUGGACAGUCUGGGGCCUGCAGCUUCCCUAGUGCAUCGGACACAGAUGAGGGCUGACCUGAUUCACAGGCAGAGCAAUGAUCAGGAGGCCUGGAAAAAUCAUCCGCAAGGAGGCGGCGGGGCACAUGGAGGUACUAGAAAUCUCCCACUUCAACACUGUGCCUUUUUCAGUACCAAACAGCAUCUGGUGUCCUGACACAUACAAGAUCCCCAGCAUGCGGGAGGUCCUGCUUUGCACAGGGCCUCAUGUACACUUAAGCCACCCCGAGAGGUGGCUUCUACUAUUAUCCCUAAGGAUUGGGGGCUUGGGAGAUGCUAGGCAAACUGCCAGUUCCUUGCGAACAGUGCCUGCCUGCCUCUCAGUCUCUGUCCACUCUGUUCCCGAGGUGCCACCUGCUGUAUUUCCCCGUAUUCCUGAUUUUCAUUCCCGGUGUCUGACCAUAGCCAAUCAACAAAUCAAUAGGUUGGAGAUAGACUUUCAACAUACAAUUCAGAACUAUGAAGGCAAUUUUUAAUUUGGACAUUGAUGGUAAUAUGGUACUCCUCCCUUCUUUUUAUAUUUCCUUUGUCUUUCAGUGCUCAGGUACUUUCCUGAGACAACUGGAUGGUAGUCUGCAUCUCACUGGAGCCUGGGCCAGCACCCAGCGCAGCCCUGAUGCUAUGCUCUAGGUGGAGAGGGACAAUCCCAGACCAAAGGCAGCGAGCCCUGGAGUCUCCUGGGACCAGUGGGGACAUGGCACACCACCCCGAUUCUAUUCACAAGAAGGGACAGGGUGGUGUCCAGGAGCACGGACUGCCUUAGAACUGUCCUUGCGCUGUAUGGAGGGGGCACAGAGGCCUGCUGCUGCAAGUGAGGGCUGGCAGAGGGUGGGUGAGCUGGGGUUGCAGAUGCUGCAGUGGACAGAUGGGUGGAAGGCUUCAAACAGGCAGUCCUGAAAUGAAAAGUGAUAUAGAAAGGCAAGAGUCAGCUGAGAAGUGCUGUCAUCUGCUCUAAACCUCUUGAAAAUAUUUAGCACAUCAUAGCCCAAAGAAGAAAUGACAAAGCAGUUAAUUUGAGACAAACAAAAAUACUGUUAAAAAGCCAGGCCCCCAUAGGGUUGACAUACAAAUGACGGGUUACAAGGAGAACCUCCAGCCUGGAGAUGGAAGCCCUAGGACACUGAGGAAACCACGGAGCAAGGCUGCAAAGAAGAACUAACUUCACCUAUCUGCUUCCAGGAAGUCAUAAGGCACAGGGACAAAGGUUUGAGAAAAGUCAUUUCUUAGGGAUAUAAAACAAAGUUUUACUCAACACAAACCAAGUAUCCAAAGGGGAACCUGAGGAAGAAGAAGCUGGAGAACUUGUGCUGGAUGCUGACAGGGUCAGCAGGAGACCCUGGCUUCCUGGGCAGCGGAUCCAGUGUCGUGGGACAGCACAGUGGGACCAUGUCUUAUACAUGGCAGGUCUCAUGGGAAUCUGCACUGUGCCUCGUCCUUGCUCAAUUCUGGGUGCACACGUUGCUUCUAACAAUGGACAGUGUGCAGCCUACUUGGGCCUUCAUCUCACCACUUGCAAAGUAACAAUAAUAAAAGCCACAUUGAGAACUAGACUAAGCAAAUGUCAGCAAAGACAUGGGGAAACUGGAAAGCCAGUGUGCCGAUGUUGGGAAUGUACAAUGGUAUAUUCACUGGCGAGAAUAGUAUGGUGGUUACUCAAAAAUGCCAGACAGAAUUACAUGUGACCUAGCAACUCUGCUUCCAAUGAUAGGGCCUCAAAAAGACAGCUCUACAUCCACAUCUCUGGGAACAUUCUGCACAAAUCCCCAAGACACGGAAGCCACCCAAGUGUUCAUGAGUGGAAGAAUGAAUAAACAACAUGUGGGUUCCACUUGCAAUGGAACAGACUCGGGUUUUAAAAGGAAAAGUAUUAUGACACAUGCUAUCUCAUAAACAAAGCCUGAGAACAUCACACUAAGAAAUGAGCCAGCCAUAAAAGACAGACCUGAGUCACUGCAGCUACAGGAAACAUCUAGAUGCCACCUGUAGACAGUAGGACACAGAUCUCCAGGGCCAGAAGGGGUGAAGUGAUCUUUAAUGGGUAUGGAGUUUCAGUUUUGCAAAAUGAAAAAGUACUGAUGGGUGGGCA
rnacentral:lncRNA from 1 species